AUGACUCACUUCCCCGCCAAGUUCGCCGGCGUCACCAUCACUCUCCUCCGUCCGGAGGAGACCGACAAUCGGGCCACCACGCGCUACGACCACUUGGUGGAGAUCGAGGCCAAGAACUACCCGCUCGAGCUGUGGCACCCCCAAGGCGCCAACUUCGUGUUCGGCCACUUUGGGGUGCUCUGCUGCGUCGACAGCCGCUGCCUCAACUCCGGCGACUUCACGACGAUGCACGCCUUUCUCCGCGUUGAGAGUGACCAUGUCACCCCGGAUGGGUUCAUCCUUCGCCUUCCGCCAGCCCAAAUCGUCGACGUCAAGCUCCGUAUUGUCAAGACUUGGGCCGUCUUUGAGGACCUCACCAUCCCCCUCGACCAUGACGUGGACGGCAACGGCAGUGAAGCUCACGUCCACGGUGCCUGGCGGUGGAACUGCAGCCAUGUUGGGCCUUGCUCUGGCCCACAUGCUGCAGUUUCCAUGCAGCCACCAACACCAACUGCUGGGCCGUCCUCGCCUCCUCAAGCUCAAGCCACGCAAGCCCCUCGCAACUUUCUCCCACCUCUCAUCGGCGGUCCUCUGUUGCCACCGGCUGCGGCCCCUGCUGAUGCGCUCGUGCUGUCCGACAGCAGUGAGGGCACUGAGGGCGCCGCCCAGGACUCUGACCUCUCUGACACCUUCACGCCAUCGGUUGAUGUCUCCAACUCCUUCUCCGCGCUCGAUUUAGAUGGUGGUGAGACCUCGCUUCUCUCGGUCAAGGAUUCUACCUCGCUUGGGUCUGAAGCGCAUGAGGCCACGAUGCGUCGUAAACUGGCUGCUAACAAGAGGGCCACCGACGCCGCCAAGCUUCGCCGCAUCCAUCGCCUCGCUGACAAAGGGGAUGGUCAGUUCAUGGACAUGACCACGAAGGCCAUGCGUGUCAAGGCUCGUCGCUUCGACCUGCAGCACGCCUCUCACGACCUCGUCGAAGCCCUGGAUACCUCUGGACUCACUAGCGCUCCUGAGGACCCGGUGCUGGACUCCGAUGCCCUUGCUCUCAUUGCCAAGCUCUGUGGCGCUGAACCGGUGGAGGUUCAGGAGGUGUCCUCGCCGGCGCCGUGA
rnacentral:rRNA from 1 species